rnacentral:lncRNA from 1 species
GAGGUUCAGGCAAAAAUUAGGGAUAUAAAAAAGGAGUACACCCGGUGAGUCGAAAACCCAAAAGGGCGGCUCAGGCAAAAAAUGGGUAUCCCGGUGGAUUGAAAACCCGAAAAGGGGGCGAUCCAGGCAAAAGUUAGGGAAUAAGCGAAUGACUGUGAUCUGAGUUCAUCAGUGUUAUAUCACCGUUUCAUUCAAUCCGGCAAUCUUCGAAGGUUA